GUAGGUGAACCUGCGGAAGGAUCAUUAACAAAUCAUUUGGUGGGGGUUAGGGGAGGUUAGGGAGGGUUUAGGGUAGGGUUUAAAUAUUCUACCUAUUCUCUACUAUGCCUCCCUCCCCAUUCAUAUUAACCCGGCCGCAAGGCUAGGUCAGUUUCCUGCGGCGUCUCUGGGGAUUUGGCAGGAGCGAUAGUUCUAGUCAAAGACCUGGGAUAGUGCAGGAGAUAUAUACACGCUUGAUUGUUUGACUGUA
rnacentral:misc_RNA from 1 species